rnacentral:rRNA from 1 species
GAUGAACGCUGGCGGCGUGCCUAAUACAUGCAAGUCGAGCGAACAGACGAGGAGCUUGCUCCUCUGACGUUAGCGGCGGACGGGUGAGUAACACGUGGAUAACCUACCUAUAAGACUGGGAUAACUUCGGGAAACCGGAGCUAAUACCGGAUAAUAUAUUGAACCGCAUGGUUCAAUAGUGAAAGACGGUUUUGCUGUCACUUAUAGAUGGAUCCGCGCCGCAUUAGCUAGUUGGUAAGGUAACGGCUUACCAAGGCAACGAUGCGUAGCCGACCUGAGAGGGUGAUCGGCCACACUGGAACUGAGACACGGUCCAGACUCCUACGGGAGGCAGCAGUAGGGAAUCUUCCGCAAUGGGCGAAAGCCUGACGGAGCAACGCCGCGUGAGUGAUGAAGGUCUUCGGUUCGUAAAACUCUGUUAUUAGGGAAGAACAAAUGUGUAAGUAACUAUGCACGUCUUGACGGUACCUAAUCAGAAAGCCACGGCUAACUACGUG